UUUGACUUCAAGAAAAGAUGAAGAAAUAACGUAGGAUAUUUCACAAACAUAGCAGAGUCAUCAGGGCUGGAUGACUAAGAAAGUAAGGAUCAAGAAAGAUGUAUAUUUGUGUAAUGGUGUUGUAAUUAUUACUUAAUAUGCCGAGUUACUGGGCAUAUUGCAAAGUACACUGGCACAUUGCCUAUAACUAGUCUGGGGUGGGUUAUCCUCUUGCCCUCACAACGUCUUCCCUGAGGUUUUUCUAUAAAAGCAGGGGCACCAAGAGCAGUAACCUCACCAACGACUCCCAUCGCUGCAGAAGGACUCAACCAGUGAAGAUCAACCUUCUAGACAUGGCUGCAGGUAGGAGAUACAUCACCUUUCACCUUUAGGGUAAGGGUUAGCCAUCGGGUUUUGGACAAACAUUAAGAGUUUACUCAUUUCUCAAACUAUAGCUGGAUUAGGCUUUAUAUGUCCACUACUUGUUCCUAAUGCUUUUCCUUGUGCUGUUGAAGUGAGCUUUAAACUGGUGGUGGAGACUGCUGAUGGCAACAAGAAAGCUGAAUACAAACCUGCUUCGCACUGCCACCAGAAACUCGGUUGGGCGUUGAAUGAAUUUGAAGAUUCAGUCUCAGACUUCAGUUUCAAAACUGCAGGCAAAUUUGGAUUGCCACCUUAUUUGACCCAGGUGACUUUUGGUAAUGACACUAUUACCAAAACUGACACCGGCUUCUGGCAAAUUCUGGUGCAAAACCACAACAUGACAACACCUGCUGGACUCUUCAACUACACUGUCCAGGACAGUGACGUGAUCAUCCUGCGUUACAUGGCCAAGUGAUACUGACUGUGGCGCCAUCUUCCUGCAGGGUCCUGGAUUACACUGAGUGCUGCUCGACACUCCUUAAUAUGAUGAUUAUUUAGUCUGAAUUAUAUUAAAUGUAACAAAUAUGUUGAAUUGAACAUAGAUAGUGAUUAAUUGGAAGUGAAAAAUAUAAUGGAAUAAAGGACUGCAAUUAUCUCAUUUGUGUCAUUCCACUGUAUUGGCACAGACUCACAGUAACCAGCCCACGCUGCCUGCCAUCAUAUCUCUUUUGAUUCUGAGUACACAAAAGCAGAUCAUCACGUAUAUUUAUAUAGUUAUGAAUAGUUAUUGAUAUGGUUCUUUCUAGUUAUCAUUAACAUAGUUAUUAAUAUUAAUAAUUAAUAGUUCCGUUUAUAUUAUAGUAACUGCACACAUAUUAUUUCAAUUUUUUCUUAAAAAGCCAAAUGAAACCGGACAGUACAUUUACUUGAAUGCAUACAUUUUUUUACUAUACUGUACAGGUUCAUUUACAUUUAAAAAAUUGUGCAAACAAUUUAUGUAUACAGAGAAAUGUCAUAUAAUGCACAUAAAUAUUGGAUAUUUAAGGGUGUUUUUGUGUGUCUAUGUCUUAAAAAAUAUAAUAUGUCUUUUGUCCUUCUAUGCUAAUGUUUGUAAAUAGCGAAAAAAUAAAUUGGCAGAAAGGGGAACGAGCAGCAUGCAAGAGUCACCAAUACUUAGCCUUCAUGCAGCAAUUGGCCAAUCAUGCAUCAAUCAGAGUCAUUAAAGAGACCGCCCCAUGGAAACACCAUUUGAAAAACCCGGCUUCCCAUUCCUUAGCUAUCUUCUAGAGUCUAAGUCAGUGAUGUUUAUUUUGUAAAAAUGGUUGUUAAUUGAGCCGCCCCAGAACAGACGAAGAAAAUACUGAAUAAAUUAGAAAGACCAAAAAAAUAAAGAUGAAAAAAAUACUAAUUACUUUGAUACUUAUAAGCAACCAUUCUUACUCAGAUGCUACACAGCUACCUGGACAAACAGCGCCCAGUCCACAUGACAUCAUGUUUACCCAUGGAGGACCGGAGAACAGAGCUAUGUUAGAAAUAUACACAUAAAUUUAGAUCAUAAUCAGAACAUUAAUGAAUAAGACCUUUAUGUUUAUAAUAUGGUAAACUUUUUGACCUUGUGUUUUACUUAAUUUAAUUGUCCAGCGUUAGGAAGCAGUCCCAAAGGCCCGUUAAGGUUUAAACAUUUUUGACUGUAAGAAGAGAUGAUGAAUCAGCGUUGGAUGUUUCACAGACAACAAGGUCAUCCGGGAUGGAUGACUUUCCAAGUUGUGGACCAAGAAAGAUGUAAAUUUGUGUUAUGGUGUUGUAAUAAUUACUCCAUAUGUAUUGCUCAGUAACUGAUCUGGGGUGGUUAUCCUCUUUCCCUCACAACGUCUUCCCUGAGGUUGACUUUAAAAGUAGGGGCCCCAAGAGCAGUAACCUCACCAACGAUUCCCAUCUCUGCAGAAGAACACAACCAGUGAAGAUCAACCUUCUAGACAUGGCUCAAGGUAGGAGAUACAAAACCUCUCACUUUUAGGGUAAGGGUUAGCCAUUGGAUGUUGGACAAACAUUAAGAUUCCAGCCAGAUGACGAGGUCCUCCCGCGCUUCAUAACCAUCAAACUGUGACUGUGGCGCCAUCUUCCUGCCGAUUCCUGAAUUACACUGAGGGCUGCUCGACAAUCUUGCAAUAUUUGUUACUUUAACAAAUUUGUUGAUUUGAUAUGGAAAUUAGAUAUAAAAUUGGCAUGGAAGUGGCACCUAUAAGGAUUGCAAUUAACAAAUGAAUAGUGUUGCACUUUGUUCACACACACACACACACACACACACACGCACACACACACACACACACACCUGUUUAUUCGGGGACGCAGCCUGCAGCGAGACAAAUUGAAUGGUCAGAGGUAAAACAGAAUACAAAGAUAAACCUAAGUGCUAUGAAUGAAUGAAGGUGAUAUUUAACAACAUGGGGGGACUUAAUUGAAGUGUGGAUUAGAGUUGUUGAGUCUGGCCUUGGCCCCAAACAGAACCCCCCUGAAGGCAGCUUGGGCAGAGAAAACCUCACAGUUUCUGUUGGUUUGACUGCACUUCACCUCCAGGUGGAAGGACAACUGACUAACAGUCGGUGGUUCUUUAAAGACCAAACUCACCAAAGAACGGCG
ensembl:lncRNA